AUUGAACGCUGGCGGCAUGCCUUACACAUGCAAGUCGAACGGUAACGCGGGGCAACCUGGCGACGAGUGGCGAACGGGUGAGUAAUGCAUAGGAACGUGCCCAGAAGUGGGGGAUAGCCCGGCGAAAGCCGGAUUAAUACCGCAUGAGACCUGAGGGUGAAAGCGGGGGAUCGCAAGACCUCGCGCUUUUGGAGCGGCCGAUGUCAGAUUAGCUAGUUGGUGGGGUAAAGGCCUACCAAGGCGACGAUCUGUAGCUGGUCUGAGAGGACGACCAGCCAUACUGGUGCUGGGACACGGCACAGACUCCUACGGGAUGCAGCAGUGGGGAAUUUUGAACAAUGUGCGCAAGCCUGUUUCAGCCAUGCCGCGUGCGGGAAGAAGGCCUUCGGGUUGUAAACCGAUUUUGUCAGGGAAGAAACGCUCUGGGCUAAUACCCUGGGGUAAUGACGGUACCUGAAGAAUAAGCACCGGCUAACUACGUGCCAGCCGCCGCGGUAA
rnacentral:rRNA from 1 species